GACAGAGGGUGCAAACGUUGUUCGGAAUUACUGGGCGUAAAGCGCGUGUAGGCUGCUCGGAAAGUCGGAUGUGAAAGCCCUGGGCUCAACCUAGGAAGUGCAUUCGAAACUUCCGAGCUGGAGUGCUAGAGAGGAAGGCGGAAUUCUCGGUGUAGAGGUGAAAUUCGUAGAUAUCGAGAGGAACACCGGUGGCGAAGGCGGCCUUCUGGACAGCGACUGACGCUGAGACGCGAAAGCGUGGGGAGCAAACAGG
rnacentral:rRNA from 1 species